CAGGCUUGACGGACGGUCGCUGCGAGGCUGGCGCCUUGCGGAGGAAAGUCCGGACACCGCAGAGCAGGAGGUCCGGUUGCAAAGCCGGAUGCUGCGGACCAUAUUCCGCGGCAAGGAAAGCGCAACAGAAAAGAUACCGCCCAUUUUGGGUAAGGGUGAAAUGGUGAGGUAAGAGCUCACCGCGCCGUCAGGAGACUGCGGCGGCAGUGCAAGCCCCCUCCGGUGCAAGACCAAAUAGGAGACGAUGGCGCUGCUCGCGCCUGAUUGCCGCCUCCGGUGGCAGCUAAGUCUCGGGUACCGGUCGCCUAGAUGAAUGAUCGUCGCCGCGUCAAGGCGCGGCACAGAAUCCGGCUUAUAGUCAAGCCUGCUUU
rnacentral:RNase_P_RNA from 1 species